GAUUUUUUAGUAUAAGUAAGUACUUUUGAUUUCCAAUCAAAGAGUUUAAAAAUUA
rnacentral:tRNA from 1 species